GACGGGGGGGGCAAGUGUUCUUCGGAAUGACUGGGCGUAAAGGGCACGUAGGCGGUGAAUCGGGUUGAAAGUGAAAGUCGCCAAAAAGUGGCGGAAUGCUCUCGAAACCAAUUCACUCGAGUGAGACAGAGGAGAGUGGAAUUUCGUGUGUAGGGGUGAAAUCCGUAAAUAUACGAAGGAACGCCAAAAGCGAAGGCAGCUCUCUGGGUCCCUACCGACGCUGAGGUGCGAAAGCGUGGGGAGCGAACAGG
rnacentral:rRNA from 1 species